CCUAAGGACGUGUUACCGAUAGGUGUCUUCUUUCACCUAAUUUUAAUAUUUAUUUACAUAAUUACAGCCUCUCAUUCACCAAUAUGACAAAGCUCUUAGCCUGCCUUUUCCUCCUCUGCCACGUCUGUUCGUUUGCGUUGGCGGAGGAUUUCUACGAGAUGCUUGGGGUCCCCAGGAAUGCAGACGAGAGGGAAAUUCGCAAAGGCUUUAAGAAGAAGGCCCUCACGUUGCACCCCGACAAGAAUACGGAUGACCCUGAUGCUCAUGAAAAUUUGUGCGCUAAAUCG